GACGAACGCUGGCGGCGUGCUUAACACAUGCAAGUCGAGCGGUAAGGCCCUUUCGGGGGUACACGAGCGGCGAACGGGUGAGUAACACGUGGGUGACCUGCCCUCAGCUCUGGGAUAAGCCUGGGAAACCGGGUCUAAUACUGGAUAUGACUCCAUGACGCAUGUUGUGGGGUGGAAAGCCUUGUGCGGCUGAGGAUGGGGCCCGCGGCCUAUCAGCUUGUUGGUGGGGUGANGGCCUACCAAGGCGACGACGGGUAGCCGGCCUGAGAGGGCGACCGGCCACACUGGGACUGAGACACGGCCCAGACUCCUACGGGAGGGCAGCAGUGGGGAAUCUUGCGCAAUGGGCGAAAGCCUGACGCAGCGACGCCGCGUGAGGGAUGACGGCCU
rnacentral:rRNA from 1 species